rnacentral:rRNA from 1 species
UACGUAGGGUGCGAGCGUUAAUCGGAAUUACUGGGCGUAAAGCGUGCGCAGGCGGUGAUGUAAGACCGAUGUGAAAUCCCCGGGCUUAACCUGGGAACUGCAUUGGUGACUGCAUUGCUGGAGUAUGGCAGAGGGGGGUGGAAUUCCACGUGUAAGCAGGUGAAAUGCGUAGAGAUGUGGAGGAACACCGAUGGCGAAGGCAGCCCCUGGGCCAAUACUGACGCUCAUGCACGAAAGCGUGGGGAGCAAACAGG